UGUCAUAUCACCUACCCCAAUUCAAACAAAACAAAAUAAUCUUGCUGUAGAAGCUAGGGUGUGUCAUACCCUUUUGCCCAAACAGCUUCAUGCGCAAAUGUUCACUGUGGUGAGUCAUUGGUCUGGUUGGAGGCCUCUGGCUUCUGCUACACUACCAAUCCUGGAUCCUCACCAGGACUCCUCUUAUCCUGUUGUUGCCUUGUGUCAUGGCUAUCCUACAGCUUCGGUUUUGCAGGGGUAGCAAGGGUGUCUGAGAGCUGCUGCUAUGAACAGUGUGAGAUAUAUUUGUGUGACUGGACUUCAUGUUGAAUUCUCAUGUCUCCUGGAGAAGACGCAGACAUCAGCAGAAACAAGGGCCACCAGACCAAGGAAGGUCGCGGGAGAAGAUGAGGCAGGAAGCCGGAAGUUUGAUUGUGCACCCCACACCACUGCCAGGAGCUCACUGUAGGACCCCGCUUCAGGGGUUGUGUGCCUCAGUGUGAGGUGCCUAUAGACCUGCCAGGAGUUUGGCUGGGGGCGGGGGCCAGGCCUGCACGGAGGCUGGGGACAGUAGAUUCUAGCUCUUGGGCCACUGAAUGCCUCUGAAGAACUGAGAACGAAGUGGGGACCUGUGGGUGGGCCCUGGUUCGGAGCCGAAGGGAAAGGGGCAGGAGUGGGGCUCUGGCUGGGUCCCACAGGGAGGAGAGAGUCUGGCUUGCUCUGAGGGUAGCUUGGCUUGAUUUGGUUGGUGGCCGUGGCUGGAGCGCAGGGAGGCAUCGGUGCAAGAGAGGUUAGAGGUUAGAGGCUUGUUAGAGGAAGACCUGCUCCAUUGUUCCAGCACUACCGAUCCUGAUGAGAGGGUCCAUGGUUUUAAGGCGUUUAUUGUAGAAAGGCAAGAGAGGGAGAGAGUAGAGAAGUAGAGGCCAGCCAUG